GUACUCAGGUAGCUUAAUGGUGAGAGCGUCCACCUCGGAUGCGGGUGGUAGCAGGUUUCGUUAUCCGCUGAGUCACA